UACGAAGGGGGCUAGCGUUGCUCGGAAUCACUGGGCGUAAAGGGUGCGUAGGCGGGUCUUUAAGUCAGAGGUGAAAUCCUGGAGCUCAACUCCAGAACUGCCUUUGAUACUGAGGAUCUUGAGUACGGGAGAGGUGAGUGGAACUGCGAGUGUAGAGGUGAAAUUCGUAGAUAUUCGGAAGAACACCAGUGGCGAAGGCGGCUCACUGGACCGGUAUUGACGCUGAGGUGCGAAAGCGUGGGGAGCAAACAGG
rnacentral:rRNA from 1 species